rnacentral:rRNA from 1 species
GGUUAAGCGACUAAGCGUACACGGUGGAUGCCCUGGCAGUCAGAGGCGAUGAAGGACGUGCUAAUCUGCGAAAAGCGUCGGUAAGGUGAUAUGAACCGUUAUAACCGGCGAUGUCCGAAUGGGGAAACCCAGUGCAAUUCGUUGCACUAUCGUUAACUGAAUACAUAGGUUAACGAGGCGAACCGGGGGAACUGAAACAUCUAAGUACCCCGAGGAAAAGAAAUCAACCGAGAUUCCCCCAGUAGCGGCGAGCGAACGGGGAGCAGCCCAGAGUCUGAAUCAGCUUGUGUGUUAGUGGAACGGUCUGGAAAGUCCGACGGUACAGGGUGAUAGUCCCGUACACCAAAAUGCACAGGCUGUGAACUCGAAGAGUAGGGCGGGACACGUGGUAUCCUGUCUGAAUAUGGGGGGACCAUCCUCCAAGGCUAAAUACUCCUGACUGACCGAUAGUGAACCAGUACCGUGAGGGAAAGGCGAAAAGAACCCCGGCGAGGGGAGUGAAAAAGAACCUGAAACCGUGUACGUACAAGCAGUGGGAGCACCUUCGGGUGUGACUGCGUACCUUUUGUAUAAUGGGUCAGCGACUUAUAUUCUGUAGCAAGGUUAACCGGAUAGGGGAGCCGCAGGGAAACCGAGUCUUAACUGGGCGUUAAGUUGCAGGGUAUAGACCCGAAACCCGGUGAUCUAGCCAUGGGCAGGUUGAAGGUUGGGUAACACUAACUGGAGGACCGAACCGACUAAUGUUGAAAAAUUAGCGGAUGACUUGUGGCUGGGGGUGAAAGGCCAAUCAAACCGGGAGAUAGCUGGUUCUCCCCGAAAGCUAUUUAGGUAGCGCCUCGUGAAUUCAUCUUCGGGGGUAGAGCACUGUUUCGGCUAGGGGGUCAUCCCGACUUACCAACCCGAUGCAAACUACGAAUACCGAAGAAUGUUAUCACGGGAGACACACGGCGGGUGCUAACGUCCGUCGUGAAGAGGGAAACAACCCAGACCGCCAGCUAAGGUCCCAAAGUCAUGGUUAAGUGGGAAACGAUGUGGGAAGGCACAGACAGCCAGGAUGUUGGCUUAGAAGCAGCCAUCAUUUAAAGAAAGCGUAAUAGCUCACUGGUCGAGUCGGCCUGCGCGGAAGAUGUAACGGGGCUAAACCAUGCACCGAAGCUGCGGCAGCGACACUAUGUGUUGUUGGGUAGGGGAGCGUUCUGUAAGCCUGCGAAGGUGGCCUGUGAGGGUUGCUGGAGGUAUCAGAAGUGCGAAUGCUGACAUAAGUAACGAUAAAGCGGGUGAAAAGCCCGCUCGCCGGAAGACCAAGGGUUCCUGUCCAACGUUAAUCGGGGCAGGGUGAGUCGACCCCUAAGGCGAGGCCGAAAGGCGUAGUCGAUGGGAAACAGGUUAAUAUUCCUGUACUUGGUGUUACUGCGAAGGGGGGACGGAGAAGGCUAUGUUAGCCGGGCGACGGUUGUCCCGGUUUAAGCAUGUAGGCUGGUUGUCCAGGCAAAUCCGGAUAAUCAAGGCUGAGGUGUGAUGACGAGGCACUACGGUGCUGAAGUAACAAAUGCCCUGCUUCCAGGAAAAGCCUCUAAGCAUCAGGUAACAUCAAAUCGUACCCCAAACCGACACAGGUGGUCAGGUAGAGAAUACCAAGGCGCUUGAGAGAACUCGGGUGAAGGAACUAGGCAAAAUGGUGCCGUAACUUCGGGAGAAGGCACGCUGGUGUGUAGGUGAAGUCCCUGCGGAUGGAGCUGAGACCAGUCGAAGAUACCAGCUGGCUGCAACUGUUUAUUAAAAACACAGCACUGUGCAAACACGAAAGUGGACGUAUACGGUGUGACGCCUGCCCGGUGCCGGAAGGUUAAUUGAUGGGGUUAUCCGUAAGGAGAAGCUCUUGAUCGAAGCCCCGGUAAACGGCGGCCGUAACUAUAACGGUCCUAAGGUAGCGAAAUUCCUUGUCGGGUAAGUUCCGACCUGCACGAAUGGCGUAAUGAUGGCCAGGCUGUCUCCACCCGAGACUCAGUGAAAUUGAACUCGCUGUGAAGAUGCAGUGUACCCGCGGCAAGACGGAAAGACCCCGUGAACCUUUACUAUAGCUUGACACUGAACAUUGAGCCUUGAUGUGUAGGAUAGGUGGGAGGCUUUGAAGCGUGGACGCCAGUCUGCGUGGAGCCAACCUUGAAAUACCACCCUUUAAUGUUUGAUGUUCUAACGUUGGCCCCUUACCGGGGUUGCGGACAGUGUCUGGUGGGUAGUUUGACUGGGGCGGUCUCCUCCCAAAGCGUAACGGAGGAGCACGAAGGUUAGCUAAUCCUGGUCGGACAUCAGGAGGUUAGUGCAAUGGCAUAAGCUAGCUUGACUGCGAGCGUGACGGCGCGAGCAGGUGCGAAAGCAGGUCAUAGUGAUCCGGUGGUUCUGAAUGGAAGGGCCAUCGCUCAACGGAUAAAAGGUACUCCGGGGAUAACAGGCUGAUACCGCCCAAGAGUUCAUAUCGACGGCGGUGUUUGGCACCUCGAUGUCGGCUCAUCACAUCCUGGGGCUGAAGUAGGUCCCAAGGGUAUGGCUGUUCGCCAUUUAAAGUGGUACGCGAGCUGGGUUUAGAACGUCGUGAGACAGUUCGGUCCCUAUCUGCCGUGGGCGCUGGAGAAUUGAGGGGGGCUGCUCCUAGUACGAGAGGACCGGAGUGGACGCAUCACUGGUGUUCGGGUUGUCAUGCCAAUGGCACUGCCCGGUAGCUAAAUGCGGAAGAGAUAAGUGCUGAAAGCAUCUAAGCACGAAACUUGCCCCGAGAUGAGUUCUCCCUGAGACUUUAAGUCUCCUGAAGGAACGUUGAAGACGACGACGUUGAUAGGCCGGGUGUGUAAGCGCAGCGAUGCGUUGAGCUAACCGGUACUAAUGAACCGUGAGGCUUAACCUU